AUACUAAAAGUUGGAUAUACUCAAUAGAGAAGGUAUCCACGUCAUUAAAAAAAUUAUCCAAUGAGAAUGCACAAUUCCUUUUAAAUCUGUCAUGUCAUUUGUCACUGAAUCGGACUAAGUAUAUUGGGCUGUAUUGUAUUUCAUGCGGCCAAUUCACAGACAAAGCCAUCUCUACGCCCAAACAAAAUAUCAGACCAAACACGCUAAUCGAGUUCUUCACUAACUUCACUUCGUCUUCGUCUUCCCAAAAACUAAAAACCUUAUCGUCUUUGUGUCUCACCGUUACUUUGUAGUUAAGUCCAUCCAGGUCCUUCAAUCAAUUUUCUUCUUCGUCAUUCCUUUAAUCCUCAUUGAUUUGAUCGUUCUAACUUCCUAUGUUCCUCCUAUAUAAAUACCUCUUCCGACUCUUUCCUUUACGCUCAUUCAACGAAAUCCAUAAAUAUCUCUUCAGAGAACUAUUUUUGGUCAAAAAUAGUUCUGAUCCGGUGUGUUUUCUCUGAUCAUCAAACAUCCACCCUAAACGCCGCUGCUUCUCACUAGCUGACUGCUCGAAUCAUCACAGCACAAGAUCAAGUUCCUAAAGGUGGCUACUCGAUUAUUCUCAAGCCUGAGGAUAGUAGCAGUGCAGCUUGGUUCAUUACAAGAACUGUUGAAAGGUUUUGUUCCUGAGCAACCCAGAUGUCGUAGAACGUGUUUACACUAUGGGAACUGAGAUAACGAACAUGACUUAAAUAAACUGUGUCCAGAACAAUUGGGCAGUAAAUGUAGUAAGUAAGCUUUGGUUUUUAUAUAUACUCUUUUGUUGAAUUGAAAGUUUUAACGUUGGAAUGUAUCAGCAAGUGGAUGAUGAUCAAACUUAUCAGAGAGUACAAAAGGUAUGCUAUAAUGAUGCCGACAGUUUUUUUAAUUCGAAUUACUAAGAUUUUGUUUGCCCCUUGGCCCUUGAUCUUAAAAUUUAACCAAUAUUUGAGAAUAUGGAUUAGGUACCAGGCCAUUACUACUGCUCAACGAGAAGAAAGUUAUUGCCCUUCACAAGUUUACUUAGAACCAAAAUGGUUUCUGGAAUUGAAGGGGUUUUCUUUUCAACUUUUUCUCUGUAGGAAACAAUUAACUCCAUCUUCUUCCAUCUUUGACAGCCUAAUUCUUAUCCAACGCAAGCAAAUCGGUCUACCGCAUCAGAUGAGAACUCUAAGUCACAAGUUAUUCCUAAAAAGAUAGAAAAAUCUAAAGAUUGAAGAGAAGAUGCAGCAGAGAGAUAUGGAGAAGCUGGCAAACAAAAGAGAGAUGUCAGGUUUGAAGUACAAAAGUACCUUCCAGAAUAUGAAUUAGAUUUGAUGGACAAAUGCAAAUGGUAAUUUAUCACCAAGCUACCUAUAUGAAAUUGUCAAAGCUCUCUUUGAAUCUUAGCUUGGGCUGGAGAAGGUAAAUCAGUUUUACUGGACAAUUUAUUUUAAAGUUUUUGCUUCCACAUUGAAGACUCUCCAGCUUACAUAAGGAAUAAUAUGUUUGUCGUGCCGUGUGUUGGAAAAAAAAAUAUCUCUCUCUCAUCUAAUGUGCCUUAAUUGAUAUGAUGUACAAGGUAAAUGACAGAAUUGUGCAGUUGGGAUUAGCCAAGAAAAUCAAGAAUGGGACGUCAAAAAUUGUUCUUGAGAAAGUAAAAGAGGCGAGGGCUGCUGCAUUAUAUGCUCUUAAGGAGCACAUGCCAUGGACGUCCAAACUUUAACACGGUAAAGACAUAGAAAAAUCAGGUGCUGCCUUGGCCGUAUCAUCAGAUGUUAACUUGACCGAUCCAAUUCCUAAUUUUCAUCCUACAUGAGCAAUAAGCAAAAAUAGACAAACAAAAAAAGAAGAAAUUACAAAAGAUAGUGAUGAUGACUACAAUGUGUGUGUAUAUAUGUUUGUGUAAAAUUAUUUCUUGAAAUUAAUUUCAGAUUUAUUUAGAAAUC